rnacentral:piRNA from 1 species
UGUGACAGUUGCAUAAAUUAGAUCUGCCU